AUGAUCAAGGCGGUGACCACAGGUGUCCAGAAGCUCUCGGUCGCCGCGGCGCCUUUGUUCCCCACUUCUGUUGGUAUGAAGACUUGUGGGAAGGAGACACUGGCGGCCGGGGGCCUCUCCCUCCAUGAUGCGGAGAUGAACAUUGCGUCUGGCAUGGAAGACGGGCCGGAUCAGGCUGCUGUAGGGGUUAAGGGGGGCACUCCCUCCAUCGUCUUGAGUGCUCCCGAGACCCCUGCUGCUGCUGCUGAGUUGAGGCACAUGGAAGAUGCUGAAGGUGCUCCUAUAGUCAGCCAUGGAGAUCCGGCGGAGGUGCAGGGCACUAAUGGUGUGGGUGCUAGCUCCAUCAACAUGAGCGCCCAUGCUAAAGGGGUGGCUGCUGAAUCAAUUCAGGGCCGAUGGAAAAGGUUGUACAGAGAUGAGCAACUGGAGCGCGCUGCCGUUCAAGGCAUGUGUGCCAAGCAUGUGAAGUUUGGGGUCCCUUCGCCCCCAAACAGUGGCAGCGAAAUGUCAAGGGUGCCUUUGCAGCCAUCUUGGAGAGCACGGCUGGUAGCAAAAGGAGUCUUUCUGAUGAUCAAAAUUUAG
rnacentral:rRNA from 1 species